rnacentral:snoRNA from 1 species
CCCAGCUUUAGGCAGCUGCCUAGGUUGCCUUGUACCUGGGCAAGUGUGACACUGCUGGGAGAACAGCACCAGUAAGUAGCUGGUUGGCUUUCUGGGCCUGGUUCAUGCCAACUCUGUUGUUUAACUAUCCCAGAUGCCAGCACCGUUGGAAAAAAG